rnacentral:rRNA from 1 species
GAUGAACGCUGGCGGCGUGCCUAAUACAUGCAAGUAGAACGCUGAAGCUUGGUGCUUGCACCGAGCGGAUGAGUUGCGAACGGGUGAGUAACGCGUAGGUAACCUGCCUCUUAGCGGGGGAUAACUAUUGGAAACGAUAGCUAAUACCGCAUAAAAGUCGACAUUGCAUGAUGUUGACCUGAAAGGUGCAAUUGCAUCACUAAGAGAUGGACCUGCGUUGUAUUAGCUAGUUGGUGAGGUAACGGCUCACCAAGGCAACGAUACAUAGCCGACCUGAGAGGGUGAUCGGCCACACUGGGACUGAGACACGGCCCAGACUCCUACGGGAGGCAGCAGUAGGGAAUCUUCGGCAAUGGGGGCAACCCUGACCGAGCAACGCCGCGUGAGUGAAGAAGGUUUUCGGAUCGUAAAGCUCUGUUGUAAGAGAAGAACGAGUGUGAGAGUGGAAAGUUCACACUGUGACGGUAACUUACCAGAAAGGGACGGCUAACUACGUGCCAGCAGCCGCGGUAAUACGUAGGUCCCGAGCGUUAUCCGGAUUUAUUGGGCGUAAAGCGAGCGCAGGCGGUUAGAUAAGUCUGAAGUUAAAGGCUGUGGCUUAACCAUAGUACGCUUUGGAAACUGUUUAACUUGAGUGCAGAAGGGGAGAGUGGAAUUCCAUGUGUAGCGGUGAAAUGCGUAGAUAUAUGGAGGAACACCGGUGGCGAAAGCGGCUCUCUGGUCUGUAACUGACGCUGAGGCUCGAAAGCGUGGGGAGCAAACAGG